CACGCCACGUUCAUUCAUGUCGGGAGAACAAGAUGGAGAGUGUUGUCGAAAUUUGGCCCCAUCUUACAGGUGGUAAGAACGCUUCGCUAAACGUUUUACCCACAGCUUUAGUGACAGCAAAGUGGUUCGGGAAAGACUCUCCCUGAUGCAAUCAUUCCGUAACGGCUGUGAUGAUUCAUUUGCAAACGAAUCAUCCGACGUGAAUUGAAAUCGUUUAACGAAACCAUUUAGAAGUUCUAAAUGGAUUGGAGUUUUGUUGUGUCCGCGUCAAUUGGUAACAUGGAAGCGGUGGGUUCAAAUCACUGUUGGAAGCCCAUCAGGAUUGGGAGGAACAAUAUCAUGUUUAAAGUUAAAAUUCUCAUGCUUAAUGCUUAAGACCUUAGCAAACUGCGCGAAGCUAAGACGCGUUUUCAUUAAUUCGAUUCGUUGACACAAUUCAAUGUUUUGAUCGGUUGUAGUGCUUUCUUUAUCGCGGAUAAGAAAGUCAUAGAACGUCGUUUUUUUACUGGUGUGUGUUCUUUCCUUCCGUCUGUGUUUUGUGUGUCAGCGUCAAUUGGCAAUAUGGAAGCGAUGGGUUCAAAUCUCUGUUGGUAAUCCAACAGGAAUUUUCAGUUGGGAGUCGAACAUUGGUCCAAGUGUGACUACAUUUUGAUUUCUAACUGCGAGUAACGUGUUGGACUCCCAACGUCAAAAGCGCACAGGACGCGGGCAUAAAAAAUAAGUACUCUAUUGGUGGUUAUUUUGGGCUUUGGGUUUUUUGGGCUUCGGGCACACACCAUGCCUAUUUUUCCUUUUUUUUUUCACAAGAUGGUUUUCUAAAUCCCUAAAAAUGUAUUUUAAAAUCAGCAAUUUCAUUUUCAUUUCAUUGAUCAUAUGACUGUAGACUGUACAUAUUAAGUUUGAAAAACAUUACGUGAUCAAAAAUUAAUUUCAGGUAUGAAAAACCUUAAAACCCUACAACUUGUGGAGCCUGAAAACGAAUUUUCGCAGUACUCGGUAUGUGCUUUGUCCUGUCAGUGGUGUGUUUUUGUGCAUGUUGGUGCUUUUAUUAGUAUUGAUGUUAGACCCGUUGGGGCACCAUUGGCGUAGGAUUAGUUUAGUUAGUGUAGGGCCAAU